rnacentral:rRNA from 14 species
AUCACUAGCGAGAAUGAUGACAUGAGUAGCGACAAACAGGGUGAGAGACCCUGUCGCCGAAAGUC